UCUCCGUUGGUGAACCAGCGGAGGGAUCAUUACCGAGUUUACAACUCCCAAACCCAAUGAGAACCAUACCAAACUGUUGCCUCGGCGGGGUCACGCCCCGGGUGCGUCGCAGCCCCGGAACCAGGCGCCCGCCGGAGGGACCAACCAAACUCUUUCUGUAGUCCCCUCGCGGACGUUAUUUUUACAGCUCUGAGCAAAAAUUCAAAAUGAAUCAAAACUUUCAACAACGGAUCUCUUGGUUCUG
rnacentral:misc_RNA from 1 species